GAUCAUGGCUCAGGAUGAACGCUAGCUACAGGCUUAACACAUGCAAGUCGAGGGGCAGCGGGAAGUCAGCUUGCUGACUUUGCCGGCGACCGGCGCACGGGUGAGUAACACGUAUCCAACCUUCCCGUUACUCUGGAAUAGCCUUUCGAAAGAAAGAUUAAUACCGGAUAGUAUCGAGAGAUUGCAUGAUUAUCCGAUUAAAUAUUCAUCGGUAACGGAUGGGGAUGCGUUCCAUUAGG
rnacentral:rRNA from 1 species